rnacentral:rRNA from 1 species
UACGUAGGGGGCAAGCGUUGUCCGGAUUUAUUGGGCGUAAAGAGCGUGUAGGCGGCCAGGGAGGUCCGUUGUGAAAACUCGAGGCUCAACCUCGAGACGCCGAUGGAAACCCCCUGGCUAGAGUCCGGAAGGGGAGAGUGGAAUUCCUGGUGUAGCGGUGAAAUGCGCAGAUAUCAGGAAGAACACCCGUGGCUAAGGCGGCUCUCUAGUACGGUACUGACGCUGAGACGCGAAAGCGUGGGGAGCGAACAGG